CAGGGCGUAGCUAUAAAAACCAAAGCACUCAGCUUACACCUGAAAGAUGUCUACCACCAGCCAGACCGCCCUGA
rnacentral:tRNA from 2 species